AACACAUGCAAGUCGAGCGGAAACGAUGAUAGCUUGCUAUCAGGCGUCGAGCGGCGGACGGGUGAGUAACGCGUAGGAAUCUGCCUAGUAGAGGGGGACAACAUGUGGAAACGCAUGCUAAUACCGCAUACGCCCUUAGGGGGAAAGGAGGGGACUUUUCGGAGCCUUCCGCUAUUAGAUGAGCCUGCGUGAGAUUAGCUAGUUGGUGGGGUAAAGGCUCACCAAGGCGACGAUCUCUAACUGGUCUGAGAGGAUGACCAGUCACACUGGGACUGAGACACGGCCCAGACUCCUACGGGAGGCAGCAGUGGGGAAUAUUGGACAAUGGGCGCAAGCCUGAUCCAGCCAUGCCGCGUGUGUGAAGAAGGCCUUAGGGUUGUAAAGCACUUUCAGGAGUGAGGAAGGGUAAUUUGUUAAUACCAGAUUAUUUUGACGUUAGCUCCAGAAGAAGCGAGUACGACCGGCUAACUCUGUGCCAGCAGCCGCGGUAAUACAGAGGGUGCAAGCGUUAAUCGGAAUUACUGGGCGUAAAGCGCGCGUAGGUGGUUUGUUAAGUCUGAUGUGAAAUCCCAGGGCUCAACCUUGGAAUGGCACCGGAUACUGGCAGGCUAGUAGAGGAGUGUGGAAUUUCCUGUGUAGCGGUGAAAUGCGUAGAUAUAGGAAGGAACAUCAGUGGCGAAGGCGACACUCUGGACUGAUACUGACACUGAGGUGCGAAAGCGUGGGGAGCAAACAGGAUUAGAUACCC
rnacentral:rRNA from 1 species